rnacentral:lncRNA from 1 species
GCACUUCUUUGUUAUUGAUCUCAAUGGGGGACUGAUGGCGUCCUUUGGCAGUAGGGUAAUUUUUGUGCCACUGAUCUGGUCCGUUGUCGCCGUCGUAGCCCCACGGGUAAUAGUUGGGGUUAAUCAUGGCGCCACACUGCCCCUCGGCGCCCCUCGGCAGCUCCGGCGGGACAGCGGCUUCGCAUCACGGCGGCUUUUUAUACGCUCCCGCCAACUCCAUGCCCUUCC